GAGUGAAGAGGGAAGAGCUCAUCAUUGGAAUCUGGCAGCGUUGCGCUGUCCGAGUUGUAGAUGAGAAGAGUAGGACAUCUGGACUGCAUGGUGUCCAAGUACAAUAGGCCGUCAGUGGGACAUCAUAGAGGGUGACAAUCCCGUCCUUGACACCAAUGUACGAGUCCUUUACGAUGCCUAUCUCGGAGAGUCGAGCAGUUUGGGAUUUGCUGCUUAAACACGGGAGGUAGAUUCCUUCCAAAGCUAAAUACAGGCAAGAGACCGAUAGUGAACAAGUACCGCAAGGGAAAGAUGAAAUAGAACUCUGUGAAGGGAGUCAAAAAGACGUGAAAUUGUUGCGAGAGAAGCGAUUCAAGUCAGCGUAGCUGGGCCCAUCAAGCCUCGCGCUUUGGACCAGCUUUGCCAGCGGUCUUGUCCCCAGAGACUUGACUAAGGUGCCCUGCCCGGUCUAACGGACAGACCUCCCCGCUGGGGAGGCCAGUGGCAUGGCUGGUGGAAUGGCUUGCAAUCGACCCGUCUUGAAACACGGACCAAGGAGUCUAACAUGUACGCGAGUAUAAGGGUGGCAAACCCGUAUGCGCAAAGAAAGUGAUAGCCUAUGGCUGAGAAUGACCUGACGACCAGACAAGAAACAUCAUGUCCCUCGUACGGUCAUUGCCCAAGUCCCAUGGUCAGAUCCCAUGGACAUGGAGUUGGAGCGUGCAUGCUAGGACCCGAAAGAUGGUGAACUAUGCCUGGACAAAGCGAAGCCAAAGGAAACUCUGGUGGAGGCUUGUAGCGAUUCUGACGUGCAAAUCGAUCGUCUGAUCUG
rnacentral:rRNA from 1 species